rnacentral:rRNA from 1 species
CCUACGGGAGACAGCAGUGAGGAAUAUUGGUCAAUGGUCGGGAGACUGAACCAGCCAAGCCGCGUGAGGGAGGAAGGUACAGAGUAUCGUAAACCUCUUUUGUCAGGGAACAAAGACUGGGACGCGUCCCCGGAUGAGUGUACCUGAAGAAAAAGCAUCGGCUAACUCCGUGCCAGCAGCCGCGGUAAUAGGGAGGAUGCGAGCGUUAUCCGGAUUUAUUGGGUUAAAAGGGUGCGCGGGCGGUCUGUUAAGUCAGCGGUAAAAGCCCGGGGCUCACCCCCGGCCCGCCGUUGAAACUGGCAGUCUCGAGUUGGAGAGAAGUAUGCGGAAUGCGCGGUGUAGCGGUGAAAUGCAUAGAUAUCGCGCAGAACUCCGAUUGCGAAGGCAGCAUGCCGGCUCCACACUGACGCUGAGGCACGAAAGCGUGGGUAUCUAACAGGAUUAGAUACCCGUGUAGUC